rnacentral:rRNA from 1 species
GACGUAGGGGGCAAGCGUCGUUCGGAAUUAUUGGGCGUAAAGCGCUCGUAGGCGGGACUGGAAGUCCGUGUUGAAAGACCUCGGCUCAACUGAGGGACCGGCUCGGAUACUCUAGUUCUUGAGGCAAUCAGAGGGUGAUGGAAUUCCCGGUGUAGCGGUGAAAUGCGUAGAUAUCGAGAGGAACACCAGUGGCGAAGGCGAGUCCCUGGACAAAACCUGACACUGAGGCACGAAAGCGUGGGUAGCAAACAGG